rnacentral:rRNA from 1 species
UACAGAGGUCUCAAGCGUUGUUCGGAUUCAUUGGGCGUAAAGGGCGCGUAGGCGGCGGGGUAAGUCGGGUGUGAAAUCUCAGAGCUCAACUCUGAAACUGCACUCGAUACUGCUCUGCUUGAGGACUGGAGAGGAGACUGGAAUUCACGGUGUAGCAGUGAAAUGCGUAGAUAUCGUGAGGAAGGCCAGUGGCGAAGGCGGGUCUCUGGACAGUUCCUGACGCUGAGGCGCGAAGGCCAGGGGAGCAAACGGG